UUAAUACUCCCUCCGUCCGGAAUUAUUUGUCGCAUAAAUGGAUAAAAAUGAAUGUAUCUAAAAUUAAAAUAUGUCUAGAUACAUCAAUUUUCCUAAUAAGUAAUUUUCAACGGAGGGAGUAUAUC
rfam:Triticum aestivum genome assembly, contig: Triticum_aestivum_CS42_TGACv1_scaffold_603120_7DL